rnacentral:rRNA from 1 species
GACGAACGCUGGCGGCGUGCCUAAUACAUGCAAGUAGAACGCUGAAGGAGGAGCUUGCUUCUCUGGAUGAGUUGCGAACGGGUGAGUAACGCGUAGGUAACCUGCCUGGUAGCGGGGGAUAACUAUUGGAAACGAUAGCUAAUACCGCAUAAUAGUAGAUGUUGCAUGACAUUUGCUUAAAAGGUGCAAUUGCAUCACUACCAGAUGGACCUGCGUUGUAUUAGCUAGUUGGUGAGGUAACGGCUCACCAAGGCAACGAUACAUAGCCGACCUGAGAGGGGGGUCGGCCACCCUGGGACGGAGACACGGCCCAGACUCCUACGGGAGGCAGCCGUAGGGCAUCUUCGGCAAUGGACGGAAGUCUGACCGCGCAACGCCGCGUGAGUGCAGAAGGUUGUCGGAUCGUAAAGCUCUGUUGUAAGAGAAGAACGAGUGUGAGAGUGGAAAGUUCACACUGUGACGGUAUCUUACCAGAAAGGGACGGCUAACUACGUG